GCAGUCUAGGGGGUGUAGCAUACAUCACCGGCGGACGGGUGCGUAACACGUGGGAAUAUACCUUUUGGUUCGGAACAACGCAGGGAAACUUGCGCUAAUACCGAAUGUGCCCUUACGGGGAAAGAUUUAUCGCCAAAGGAUUAGCCCGCGUCCGAUUAGCUAGUUGGUGAGGUAAUGGCUCACCAAGGCUCCGAUCGGUAGCUGUUCUGAGAGGAAGAUCAGCCACACUGGGACUGAGACACGGCCCAGACUCCUACGGGAGGCAGCAGUUGGGAAUCUUGGACAAUGGGGGAAACCCUGAUCCAGCCAUGCCGCGUGAGUGAUGAAGGCCUUCGGGUUGUAAAACUCUUUCGACGGGGACGAUAAUGACGGUACCCGUAGAAGAAGCUCCGGCUAACUUCGUGCCAGCAGCCGCGGUAAUACGAAGGGGGCUAGCGUUGUUCGGAAUUACUGGGCGUAAAGCGCGCGCAGGCGGUCUUCCAAGUCAGUGGUGAAAGCCCGGAGCUCAACUCCGGAACUGCCAUUGAAACUGUAAGACUUGAGGACGAGAGAGGUGAGUGGAAUUCCCAGUGUAGAGGUGAAAUUCGUAGAUAUUGGGAAGAACACCGGUGGCGAAGGCGGCUCACUGGCUCGUUUCUGACGCUCAGGCGCGACAGCGUGGGGAUCAAACAGGAUUAGAUACCCUGGUAGUCCACGCC
rnacentral:rRNA from 1 species